rnacentral:rRNA from 1 species
UACGGAGGGUGCAAGCGUUAGUCGGAAUUACUGGGCGUAAAGGGUGUGUAGGCGGGAAUAUAAGUCAAACGUGAAAUUCCGGAGCUCAACUUCGGAGCUGCAUUUGAGACUGUAUUUCUUGAGGGAUGGCGGAGAAAGUAGAAUUCCACGUGUAGCGGUGAAAUGCGUAGAUAUGUGGAAGAAUACCUGUGGCGAAAGCGACUUUCUAGCCUAAACCUGACGCUGAGGCACGAAAGCAAGGGGAUCAAACAGG